UAUCUCAUAUUUUCAUAAUCUUUUGACAACCUCGCCAACAUGUGCCAACUUACUUGGAAAAAAGUGAUUUCACCAACUUUUACGUCAUUGAAUCUCCUAUUGAAGGAAAAAUUUAGGUUAAGCACCAGUGCAACGCAUGUUCCAGUUUCACUACGAUAAGAAACGAAAUCAAUUUAAUGGAAGCAGUAUAGGUUAAUGAGAACUGCAACAGCUGAGGGACAUUACACACACAUCAAUUAUUACAGUGUCGAUGAUAAUAGAUUAUUUUACUUAUUAUAUUUGAUUAUUCAUUCAUUAAAGUGGACAAUUAUUUUGUAA